rnacentral:misc_RNA from 1 species
GAUGAAGAACGAAGCGAAAUGCGAUAAGUAAUGCGAAUUGCAGAAUUCAGUGAGUCAUCGAAUCUUUGAACGCACAUUGCGCCCUGUGGUAUUCCGCAGGGCAUGCCUGUUCGAGCGUCAUUUCAACCCUCAAGCUCUGCUUGGUGUUGGGCCCUGCCCGCUGCGGCCGGCCCUAAAGACAGUGGCGGUGCCGCCUGGCCCUGAGCGUAGUACAUCUCUCGCUCCAGUGCCCGGUGGUAGCCUGCCAGAACCCCAACUCUCGUGGUUGACCUCGGAUCAGGGAGGGAUACCCGCUGAACUUAAGCAUAUCAAUAAGCGGAGGA